CAUUAGAUGACUGAAAGUAAGUAUUGGUCUCUUAAACCACUUUAUAAUAAAGUAACGUUUAUUUCUAAUGA
rnacentral:tRNA from 1 species